rnacentral:snRNA from 1 species
UAUUCAAGCGGUGAGGUGG